GGCGCUAUAGCCAAGUGGUUACGGCGACAGAUUAGAAUGGUUUAUAUUUUCCGCUCAUCUGUUCCUCUUUGAGGGCGCAGGUUCAAAUCCUGCUGGCGUCG